CUUUGUAAUAGAGUCUUCAGUAAACUCUGGCAACUGGCGAAUUUUAUGUUAUGACCACGCAAUUUAGGAAUCCUUAGUAUUUACUCAGUGAUAUAAGUUUAUAUAAUUAUACAUUAGCCCCCAUAAGAAUCAAAGACUUAUAAGAAGAGGAGCCUCAAGUCCCAUUCAUGUCUGACAAAUUUUAUUUUGAGAAUCACUGCUUUAGAACUAUCUGAAUCAAGUUUGUCCUUGAGUGAGAAUAGAUGAGAGAAAAUGUGGAGCUCCUGACAUAGUAGCAGAGGAAAAAUGAUCACUACCACAGUGUGCUACUCUGAUGCUUCAAAAAGAUCAAGACAUAAUGCUAAAGCCUGAUCAAAAGGUGGGUCCAGAUUUUUUUUAUUUUUUAUUUUUUUUUGAGAUGGAGUCUUGCUCUGUCACCCUGGCUGGAGUGCAGUGGUGCAAUCUUGGCUCACUGCAACCUCCGCCUCCCGGGUUCAAGCGAUUCUUCUGCUUCAGCCUCC
rnacentral:lncRNA from 10 species